GACGAACGCUGGCGGCGUGCUUAACACAUGCAAGUCGAACGGUAAGGCCCUUCGGGGUACACGAGUGGCGAACGGGUGAGUAACACGUGGGUGAUCUGCCCUGCACUCCGGGAUAAGCCUGGGAAACUGGGUCUAAUACCGGCUAGGACUCCUGGCUUCAUGGUUGGGGGUGGAAAGCUUGUGCGGUGUGGGAUGGGCCCGCGGCCUAUCAGCUUGUUGGUGGGGUAAUGGCCUACCUAGGCGACGGCGGGUAGCCGGCCUGAGAGGGUGACCGGUCACACUGGGACUGAGAUACGGCUCAGACUCCUACGGGAGGCAGCAGUGGGGAAUAUUGCACGAUGGGCGCAAGCCUGAUGCAGCGACGCCGCGUGAGGGAUGACGGCCUUCGGGUUGUAAACCUCUUUCAGCUAUGACGAAGCGCAAGUGACGGUAGUAGCAGAAGAAGGACCGGCCAACUACGUGCCAGCCGCCGCCGUAA
rnacentral:rRNA from 1 species